rnacentral:rRNA from 1 species
GAUGAACGCUGGCGGCGUGCUAACACAUGCAAGUCGAGCGAGAACUUAUGUAAAGAAGCUUCGGUAGAUUUACAAAAGGGAAAGCGGCGGACGGGUGAGUAACGCGUAGGCAACCUGCCCCAUACAGGGGGAUAGCCACCGGAAACGGUGAUUAAUACCUCAUAAAGCAUAGAUAACACAUGUUAAAGAUGUCAAAGAGAAUUCGGUAUGGGAUGGGCCUGCGUCUGAUUAGUUAGUUGGUGAGGUAACGGCUCACCAAGGCGACGAUCAGUAGCCGACCUGAGAGGGUAGGCGGCCACAUUGGAACUGAGACACGGUCCAGACUCCUACGGGAGGCAGCAGUGGGGAAUAUUGCGCAAUGGGCGAAAGCCUGAUGCAGCAACGCCGUGUGAAUGAAGAAGGCUUAGGGUCGUAAAAUUCUGUCCUAAGGGAAGAAAAAGAUGACGGUACUUAGGAGGAAGCCCCGGCUAA